ensembl:snRNA U1 U1 spliceosomal RNA
AUACUUACCUGGCAAGGGAGACACCGUGAUCACCAAGGCGGUUCACCCAGGGCGAGGCUCGGCCAUUGCACUCCGGCUGUGCUGACCCCUGCGAAUUUCCCAAAUGUGGAAAUCUCGAUUGCAUAAUUUCUGGUAGUGGGGGACUGCGUUUGCGCUCUCCCCUG